CUACGGGNGGCNGCAGUGGGGAAUAUUGGACAAUGGGCGAAAAGCCUGAUCCAGCCAUGCCGCGUGUGUGAAGNAGGUCUUCGGAUUGUAAAGCACUUUAAGUUGGGAGGAAGGGUUGUAGAUUAAUACUCUGCAAUUUUGACGUUACCGACAGAAUAAGCACCGGCUAACUCUGUGCCAGCAGCCGCGGUAAUACAGAGGGUGCAAGCGUUAAUCGGAAUUACUGGGCGUAAAGCGCGCGUAGGUGGUUUGUUAAGAUUGGAUGUGAAAUCCCCGGGCUCAACCUGGGAACUGCAUUCAAAACUGACUGACUAGAGUAUGGUAGAGGGUGGNGAAUUUCCCUGUGUAGCGGUGAAAUGCGUAGAUAUAGGAANCCNACACCCAGUGGCGAAG
rnacentral:rRNA from 1 species